rnacentral:rRNA from 1 species
GAUGAACGCUGGCGGCGUGCCUAAUACAUGCAAGUCGAGCGAAUGGAUUAAGAGCUUGCUCUUAUGAAGUUAGCGGCGGACGGGUGAGUAACACGUGGGUAACCUGCCCAUAAGACUGGGAUAACUCCGGGAAACCGGGGCUAAUACCGGAUAACAUUUUGAACCGCAUGGUUCGAAAUUGAAAGGCGGCUUCGGCUGUCACUUAUGGAUGGACCCGCGUCGCAUUAGCUAGUUGGUGAGGUAACGGCUCACCAAGGCAACGAUGCGUAGCCGACCUGAGAGGGUGAUCGGCCACACUGGGACUGAGACACGGCCCAGACUCCUACGGGAGGCAGCAGUAGGGAAUCUUCCACAAUGGACGAAAGUCUGAUGGAGCAACGCCGCGUGAGUGAUGAAGGUUUUCGGAUCGUAAAACUCUGUUGUAAGGGAAGAACACGUACGAGAGGGAAUGCUCGUACCUUGACGGUACCUUACGAGAAAGCCACGGCUAACUACGUGCCAGCCGCCGCGGUAA